rnacentral:rRNA from 1 species
UCGAGAGUUUGAUCCUGGCUCAGAUUGAACGCUGGCGGCAGGCCUAACACAUGCAAGUCGAGCGGAUGAGAAGAGCUUGCUCUUCGAUUCAGCGGCGGACGGGUGAGUAAUGCCUAGGAAUCUGCCUGGUAGUGGGGGACAACGUUUCGAAAGGAACGCUAAUACCGCAUACGUCCUACGGGAGAAAGCAGGGGACCUUCGGGCCUUGCGCUAUCAGAUGAGCCUAGGUCGGAUUAGCUAGUUGGUGAGGUAAUGGCUCACCAAGGCUACGAUCCGUAACUGGUCUGAGAGGAUGAUCAGUCACACUGGAACUGAGACACGGGUCCAGACUCCUACGGGGAGGCAGCAGUGGGGGAAUAUUGGGGGCAAUGGAGGAAA